rnacentral:hammerhead_ribozyme from 1 species
GCACUGCUGAGGAGUCCCAUACCAGGACGAAGUGGCCGUCCAGUGC